AGAUUCCUAUCCAAGAGCAAAGUUCUGACCUCAAAAAACCACGCAGCUCCACCUGGCUCUCACUUUGCCAGCGCUGCGAGAGAAGAAAGUGAAAAUGGGGUUUGAUUAAAUGAUUCCUUGGGACGGCUCUUGGGGGAGCAUUGGAGUGCCUGACGUUGCUCUGUGUCAAGCUGUAUACAUUCCACAUUUCAUGCAUCUCUGCAUGAAGGAGCUGGGCACAUUGUCAUAGCUGUGACAGCCACCAGCGCAUCCCCUGCUCACCAACAGUCAGUGCUGGGUGCUGGCAGGUGAUGGGAACGACCUCGAGCAGCUAAUGGUUGUGGGUUUCACCUGUGGCUUAUAAAAGGGCAGGGCUGGCUCAGGGUUCAGUUUCAUGCCUGUAGAGGUGGGAGCUGCUUUGUUGUGUCUCCUGCCCAAGGAGAAACAGGAUUGCAGCUUGAUGGUGGCAUCUUGUAGAGAGGAUGGACGGAGAAAGCAAUUGCCUUUGCUGGAUGCUGAUGUGCUUUCUGCUCUCUGUACAGACAGCAUCUCCAGCUCUUCCGAGGCAACUCGUGACCCUGCAGCCACAGCAGAGCUGUUGUUUAUUCACAACAGAUGGGAUCGGUGUUCAGUGGCUGAUGGCAGGACUGCUUCCAGGGCUGAAAGCUCCCUGUUAUUUGCUAUUUGCUUGUUGGGGAAGGCAUUGGGCAUGCUCCUCACUGCCUUGCCUGCAUCACCAUGAGCACAGAGGUCGCUGGGACAGAUCCUGAGCAUGCCCUGCCCAGCUGAACCAUCUCACCAGCCAGGGGAGCACAUGGAAUGGUUUCAAGCAGUAUCAUCUGCAUCAAAGCGCAGUGCAGGAGCACAGCUUUGGACCCUUACUUUCCAGAAACUCAGGAGCGUUCAGCUCACUGGUGUCUGAAGCAAGCACUGUGAUGUUUGUGGUAUUUGGCCUUACCAGGAGACAUUACACAGAGCCCACCAGACUCAGGGUCAUGAGCCCUACAUGAAAAUGUUUGCAGCUCAAGGUUCAGUUUCACCUGGAGAGUUCCAAAGGGUGUCUGAGUCCUGCGGAGCCCACAUCUCCUGUACCCCAGUCAGCCACGCUGGGCAGUGCCUUGUGUUCCACAUGUUGCACUGACUGCUAUCGCAUGGAAUGGGCCAGGGCAAGCUGUGCCAAGGAAUCACAUCAGGCUGACAUCCAACACCAGCUGGAGGAGGGACAUCAUUCAUCCAUUUCCCAGCUGGCAAAGAGUCUGCCCUUCCCCAGCAGCAUGGGGCUUGGCUGCCCACGGGGCUUGCUGCUGCCCACGCAGCAAUUUCUACCUGCUCCCCUGAACUCUCCUAAAGGAGGGAGAUAGUUUGGGGGAUGUCCCCAUCUCCAGCGAGCUGUGCUGAGAAUGCUGUAAGUGCUCACUACCUCCCAAGUGCCUGGAUGCAACAGCUGCAAUCUGGACAAACUGCAUGCACAAGUCCUGCCAGCGCUGACUUCGGAGAGUAUCUGAGUCAAACUGCUCCUAAAGUGAGCCAAUAUUUUGGUGAGAUGGGGUGAUCCUAUUUUUCAUUGGGUCUCUCUCAGGGCAUCCCCAUCUCUCAGGGUGUCCCCCAUCAGCCCUGCAGGUCUCAAUGGGCACAGUGUGGCCCUUGAGCAGCCCCUGCCCCUCCAGCAGCCCAGAGCUGCCAUCCCAAUGCCGAAAGCAUUCCCCUUCUCACUGCUUUGUCAUAUGGGCUGCGGGGGAAGCAGAGAUCUUAGAAAACAGCUCUGUGUGUGUGGGAGCAGAUGAGGGCUGCUUGUGCUUCCUUUGCAAAGCAAACAGGGAUAAAAUGCCCCCAAUGCAAUAGCUCUGCCUAGGUUGUCUUUGUGUAUUUGGGCUCUGAACACCCCAAUGCUUUCUCUGCCUCCUGUACUGAUGGCUCUCAGAGGUGCCUAGGAUGGGAUCAGUCCAUGUCUCCUUGCUCCGCAUGUAAGUGUGCAGGGAGCACUGAGGAAGUUCUCCCCAGACCUUUUGCUCCAUCCCCGCAGUUCUGGUGGAUGUGGCAGUGCUCACAUUCUGCACACCGUGCAGACGAGGACAAGCCUGGGGCAGGCACCUAUGGACGCUCCUGUCAUGAGGACUCUCCUGGCUGCUGCUCCUCUGCUCAGGGCAAGACAAAUGCAAUGAGACAUGGAGCCUCAUCUGUGGGCAAAUCUAAUCCUGAGCCUCUACCACUUAAUUACGGUAAUUCAGUGCCCUGUGCAGGCUGCAGCCCCAGUGGUUCCCCCACCCUGGCUGCUUCACCCUGGAGCUGCAGGACCUGGCCAGAUGCAGCCGCUCCCCAUGUAAUCGAGUUUCCUUUCAAUUACGGUUCCUGAUGGCCCAACUCUGGGAACCAUUUACAUGCCUGCAGGGAGACCGGAGCUGAACUGCGGUUGCACACAGGCACCCAGCAGAGCCCACAGUGAAAAGUGAGCCAAAGCAGCACAGGGUGAGGGAGGGAUCGCUUACUGGCCCGUGACCUGGCCCCAAUGAGUUCCAGGGAUGAUGUGACUGCACUGAUCCAUUACUCUGGUGGGAAAUGGGGACACCCUUCCCCCCCCCCCACCCUGCUUUCCUUCCUUCCAGCACAGUGCUCCAUCCCCAAAGCACCUGAGAGCACCUGGUGCCCUCCAGCCCUGGGUUUCUCCCUGUGCUUUUCAGGUUGCUCCCUCGUUGAUCCUGCUGCCUUUCAUCUCUGUUAAAACCACUGCAGCUCCCACCCAACAGGUCACUGUGUUUUAUUUAUUCCUGCUGGCAGGUGUAUUGAUGGCCAAGUUCCUCCUUUCUCGGUCCUCGCUCAAAAUUAGGUAAAAGACAUUAAAAAGAGAGCUGUUCCAGGCUUUUCUACCACAAAGGAAAUGUGUCACUAUAUUUUAUGAGGAAUCAAGAGUUCUUCACCCUCUGAGAAGACCUGGCAAGAUGCUGAUGGUACCCUGAAGGGGCAGUGCCUAUGCUGCUGUGACUCUCACUCCCACUGGUCCCCAUCAGCAAUGGCCCAGUGGAGCUGGGGGAGCUUCUGGCAAAAGAGGUGUAGCAGCUUUGGGGUCUUGUUUGGGAAGUGGUAUGGAAGAGUGUUUAUAAGGAGAGGAGAGCCCAGGGGGACGGGGAUUAGUGAAUGGUUAUUUUUAAGCACUAGGGUAAGAGGAUCUCUGUGGCGACGUAGGGAGAUCUGGGUGAGCAUCACGUGCUGGUGACCACAUCACUAUGUCAUGGGGUGAGAGCUCGGGGAGUUUUUAUCUCACCCCACUCCCCAUCCAGACUCCUGUACCCAGUGAUGGAUUGAGAGAACACCCCAAGGGUCUGACCCUUCCCAUGCCCUGCAGCCCCGUUCUUGUGCAAUGUCCUCUCCAACACGUCUAUUUAACAAGCUGUUUCCAUAAGGACCACAGCAACCUUUAAAGAUGCUGAUUUUAGGGGUGAUCAAGGGACCAGAAUGGCAGAUGGGUUGCGGUGGGGAGCAGCUCUGCUUUUCUUCCAGCCCCCAAAGUGUGGCUGCCAUGGAACAAAUUCAUUGUUUGCUCCCUGUUCUGGGUGCACUGAACUUGUCUUGGCUCCAUUUUCCAGUGGCUCCUUGCAAGCCGGCUGGGAAAAAAGUGUUUGACUUCUGUUCUCAGGAGGAGCUUUGGGCCAGGUGCACAGUGCUGGCUGCCUCUGCAUCUCCUCCUGAUGAAGGCAAUCAGGGAUGCUCCUGCUUGGAGCAAGAACACCAUCACCCUUCCUUUCCAUUUUUUUUUUUUUUUUUGGGGGGGGGACUCUCUGCCCCUAACAGCACCACCGGGAAUUUGCUGGGGCAGAAGCAGAGCUCAGUGUCCCCAAGGACUGCACUACCCAUGUGGCUCUGUGCAAUGAUGGAAACAUCCCCAGACAGGGAGCUGAGAACAAAGCCUGUCCUGGGACCUCCCAGCAUCCUGGCUAGGCAUUACACGGCCCUUAGGUUCCCCAUAAGCUGGUAACCCCCAUGGGAGUCAGCACCCAGCAGUAGGUCUGUGCCAGCUGAGAGCUGGGCUCCUGGUGCUCCAGCAGUGGGAGGAGAGCAGAGUUAAACCCAGUGGGGAAGUCCUGGUCUUUAGACCCAGCACCCCUUCGUGCACCUACUUGGUCUGCAUGCCUCAGGCUGGUGGCAUAUGGGGUUGGUAGGUCCAAAGGGCAGCAAACCCCAUCUCUGCUCAGCCCCUACAGGGAGCAAUGCUCUGAAUCCCUUACGGAUGCAAAAAGGAACAGGCAUCCUUAUCCUGAAAGACAAUGUGUGCCUGCAGGUGAGGGGAACAGCCUGCACCUGCCCUGUGCUAUGAGGCACUCAGCACCUUUUGAAGGUCUCUCGGGGCUCAAUUUGGGCUCAGGCUUAAUCCAAGGGGCUGGGGCACAAAGCAAAGCAAACACCGCGCCGAGGG